AUUAAAUAUGUCAUUCAUUGAUUCUUAAAAAUUUCAGCUUUCAAACACAACAAAAUGCUCAGAAUUUGAUUUUUCUUUUUUUAGCGAUAAUUUCACCUGAUUUAUACAUUUUUCUUUCAAUCAUGAUUAACAAUUUGACACCUCCUAAAUCAGUUGCCCUUUUCCCAGAGAGAUUGGAGCUAAGAUGAGAUUAAAAAUUAAACAGAAAAAGCUUUACCUUGACAAUGACAAAAUAUUGAUAUUCUAUUGCACCAAUGUGCAUACACUCAACACAGCAACUGAAGAUGAACAACUUUGAUUCACUUUCUUUCAAUUCACCAUUAAAAUAAAUGUUUAUCUAUUUUUCUUUUUCUUUCUAGAAGAAAGCAAUCAUCAUAUUUUGCCUCUUCCCUUUUGCUCUUAUGCAAGGACCUUCAAGGUCACAUAUCAUCCAGCAUACAGUGGCAAACUACAAAGGAAAGAAGUGCCAAUUUCUGUACUCCCUUGUGAAUGGAGUAAAUAGAGCGAGAAGCUCUUAACCUCCUUUUUAAGCAUUGUUGACAAGACUUGCAGCUUUUUCCUAAUUUCUUAGAAAUGCUAUACUAGCUUCAUUGAAUAUAGUCUUCAUAGUAGUUGUCACUAAUCACAGAGACGAACCUCUCAAGCCAAGGAAGCUGAUGAAGAUCCUUCAUGGCAUCUACAUAUGAGUCUGUACGGUGGGGUGGGGAUUGAUAAGGAUGAUGAUCACUCAAACUGAAACCCCCAGCAAGAAAUCUUUGGAUCAGUGCCAGUUGUGAUCUCUCCUGGUCUGAGUAAGCAUCCACAAGCAUGGGCAGUGAGUUAAAAGUCUCCCAUGCCCAUUGUUCUGAUUCUUGGACAGACUGGCUAACCGAAUCUUCAGAGUUGUUUUCAUCCCAAAAAGCACAUUGACAGGUCUGUUGCCCAUCCCUGUAUUCAGCACCACAAGAAUAACAGAACUCAUGCCCGCACCAGCAGGUCAUAUGAUAACAACCUUGCAUGAGCUCAAUCAUCCUCCGGCACUGUUGGCAACGCCUCCACCUUUUAUUUUGUGCUAGACGAUGCAAGGUAAUGUCCACAGCAUCUCUCUCUUCCAGUGGGAGGUUCUGGAACUCUUCACAACUCAUCAAAGAAUGCCAAGGAACACCACAUUCCACACAGAUAAACCUUUGACAAACUGGGCACUCAACACAGCUGUUAUCAGACUGACUUGAUGAACUUGCUCUAGCUGAAAGACAUUCAUGGGGAUCAAGCAGGACAGAACAAUUUGGAUAUGGGCAGUAGAUUCUAUCUGAGUGGAGAACAUCAGCUUCUGCAAGGGCUUUCUCCAAACAUUCAUAUGAAGUGAGAGGCAAAAAAGAUCUGCAUUCUGUGCUGGAGAUGUAAUAUUUGCAUCCUAACUGAGGGCAUCUGAUUGGUACUUGAGAUGACUUUAUUUUUCCAUCAACAUAGGUUCUCAUACACUGUGAACAGAAUUUGUGAGAACAUUUCAUUGCAAUCAUCAUUGGUGAUAUCUUUUCCUCACAACAGAUGGAACAGUUGUCACGUGAUUUAUUUCCAUUGGCAGGAAAAGAGACAACCCCAACUGCUACUUGGGCUAAAUGCAAUGGCCUCUCAAGAUCAAAUAUGGGAAUGACUUUGAGUACAAAGGUUUCCAGGUUACUGGCAUGUUCAAGGAUCCUUUGCCUCAAAGCAAUCAGAAGCGGGAUCUCAACUUUUUCCUCGUGCAUCAUCUGAUCAUAUAACAUAUCAGAAUCAGUAAAAGCAUACACUCGGCGAAUGUUAUGCUGUAAAGCUUCAGCCAGACCAUCCAUAAGAGCCAAAUAGUCAGCAACUAAUUCCUCCACAUAGAAAUCCAGUUUCUUUUGUACCUGAAUGAGAGGAACAUUUCCUGUUCUUUCCAUGACAACACCAAUUCCAGAAAACCCAGAACCAGAGUCCCCUGGCUCGGCUAUAGAGAUGCCUUUAAAAAAACAUAUUCACUGAAAAUUCAUCAAGAAUUUCCUGCAGCUCUUCCUUCUCCAUUUCUUCAGGGUCCUUCCAUACUUCAUCAUCUCCACAACAACUACGAAACUCUUCCUCAUCUUCUUCCAAUUUUACUUCCAUGCGCAAAUCCACUGAAGGCACAUCACCAAAAGCAACCUGAUCCUUCAUCUUCAAGACAACCUUCAGUAAAACUCCCGAGAUAGUUCAGCAAAUGUUCAAAAUUCAAGAUUAACUUAUAUAAAACUCCAAGCAGAAGCCACUAACAGUCUAACACAUUAUCCGGCAACUCCGUGUUUGAGCUUCUAUUUCUUCGCAAAUCACAGGGAAAAAUUCAUACGGAAAUGUAAUCUCUCAGCUCCCCCAUGAUGAUGGUGGGUUAUCAGACCUCAUACCGUGCAGAGGGAAUUUAAUUCUGAUGAUUCUGUUAAGGUUACAGAAACCCUAAUCUGAACUAAUAUUAUGGCUUUAUUUUUCCCCUGUUUGGCUUGGAUUGUAUUAAGAAAGAUUAUCAAAUGAUUAAGAAAGAGCGAAGCAACAGCCUUAAUGUUUAUUGUUGGGGUAGCACAGAAGGAAAGGAAGGUUGCUUUGCUGGCAUUCUUGCUCGUUCCCUUGACUUUUUU
rnacentral:misc_RNA from 1 species